ACAUUUGGGAUUUGGGAGCAAGUUUCUAUCAUCAUCAGCAGACAGUUAUUCUUUGAGAGACAGCUCUUGGCUUAUUAUUGGGCCUUACUGGAAACUUAACAUUUUACAAUGGGUCAUUCAAUUACCAUAAGAGAUGAGCUGUGUGCUUCAUAGCCUGCUGAGUCAUGAAGUAGGACACACUCAGCAGCAGUCCAAUAUCAAAUGGAAGUGGUAUGUAUUCGAUCCCGCUGAAGAAGGUCCUGAAGGUACAAACAAGUUACACAAAGAAGUUGCCCGGGGUUGGGGAUUUAGCUCAGUGGUAGAGCGCUUGCCUAGGAAGCUCAAGGCCCUGGGUUCGGUCCCCAGCUCCGGAAAAAAAAAAAAAAAAAA
rnacentral:lncRNA from 1 species